AGGAAGGCAGUAAGCAACUGUUCUCCUGCCUUGAGUUCCUGCCUCAGCUACCCUGGGAUAGACUGAAACCUGCUGUCACAAGAAAGCUGCCAUGGUUCAUUAAGGAGUUCCAGAAGUGGACAGAAGCAUUCUUGAUCAUUUCUUAUAAUAGACAUUUUUUGAAAACCAAAGAGGUAUGCAGAGGCUCGGGGAGACCAGAAGAGGUCACGGGAUCUUUUGGUGCAGGGGCUUCAGGUAAUGUGAGCUGCCCAACAUGGGUGCUGGGACUGAGUCCCUUGGAGGAUAAUCUAGCAACCGUAACAGCUAAGCUGUCGUCAGGACUCAAGAUGCUUAUUUCUAUUAAUGUAGUUUACAAAACAGAUGUCACCAACAAAGAGAGUUUAUCCCAGGGCAUCUGAAUGAACAUUGGCUUCUGAUGCCUGGGACUCCUCACAUCACAGCAGACUCAGAAGCAGAGCUGAGCACUCAUCCCUAAUAAGCUCUUACCAGCCCACUUCCUCCAGUUAGGUUCUACAUCCCAAAACUCCUUUGUACCCACAGCUCCUUAAAACAGUGUUAAAAGACAGGUCCAAGAUUCAAACACACCACUCUUGGAUGGCUAGUGUGUCUACAGUCAUCCGAGAAAAGGAAACGACAAUUGAGAAAGUGGCUCAUCAGUGUGGCCUGUGGGUAAAAGCUUUCAGGGCACUUUCUUGUUCGAUGAUUGCUGUAUUUGAGUUCAGUUCACUGUGAACAUGGCCAUUCCUGGGGUCAUGAUCCUGGGUAUAUAAGAAAGCAAACUGAGCAAGCCAGGAGGAACUGGCCAAUAAGCAAUGUCUGCCUCAGUUCCUGCCUUGAGACCCUUUCCUGAUGUUCCUCAAUUAUGGACCUGAAAGUUGUAAGAUGAUAUAAAUCCUUUUCUUCCCAAGUUGCUUUUGGUCAUAUUCUUUAUUGUUGAAACAGACCCCUAACUAGGAAGAGCCUCUAGGGGACAUUCCCUAUUGAAACCAUAAUGUUCUGAUCCUGUUCCCCAGAGGGAUAUGACCAUCUCAUUAUGAAUAAUGUACUUAGUGCAAAUUCUCAUAGUCUUGCAGUUUCCACACUGUCAAAGACCAAAUUUAAAUUUCUCUUUUAAGACUCAAGGCAAUCUCUUAACUAUGAGCCCAUUUACACUCAAAACACAAGUUACUUAUUUUCAACAUAUGAAGGCAUAGUUAACAUACCUAUUCCAAAGAGGAGGAAAGACUAGAAUAAAGCAAGUUCAGGAUCCAGAAGAGCAGACACAAAAUCCUGAAGGGCACCUGCCCAGUGGCUGAAGCUCUUGAUGACAACACAAGGGAUCCAAGGGUCUCGGCCAACUGCAGCCUAUGUGGCGGACUCAGCACAUGCAACUUUUCAUUAUCCUUGGGUUUCUACUGCAACUCAGGCUUCACCUCACUGCUCCACACAGAGCCCACUCCUGAGCUCUGCAUGGGGUACCUGACUGGCUUCUUUGGCUUCCUGGAACCUCGGAGCAAACCUCACUUUUAUAUCUUGCCACCUUCUGCUGCCAGGUCUUGAUGUAGCCUCUCGCCACCCCUGCAGAGGCCUCGGUGCACUUUCAAGGUCGAGCUUGGGACAAUGCUUGUCUUUUGCUCUUCUUCAAGCAAGAGCGUUGGGAGCUUGUUUUGUUUCCCCAGUCCCUUUCCAUGUAAGCCUGUGUUUUUGCACCCCAGAGCUUUUGAUAGUUUGACUGCUGCCUUCCAGGGUCUUUUCCUGGUGUCCUGUUGCACAGUAUGUGGGGUCCUGAAGAGAUCAGGGCACUGAUCUCAACAAUCACAGCUAUGCAUUCUUACAGCCAUUUCUGAAACCCAAUUUAAGCUCCUUUUCUCACUGAACUUCAUGCUUCUGAAAUGUAUUCUACUCUUCCUCACUGGAAUUCUGGCUGAUAGCAAUGACCAGUAGCCAUGGCACAGACGGACUGUUAUGGCCUUCAAAAUUCCUCUGCCAAAGAGUCUAGUCCCUGCCUUUUGAAUUCAGCCCCAGGCAAAUUAUCAGGGCAGGCAAAUGUGGCAAGGUUAUUUGCCAGCAUGUCAGAUGAACGGCCUUUAGCCCAGUCCCGAGAAGAGUCAAGUUAAUUUAUGGAAUAGUUUGUAUUUGAGGAGUUUUGAAGAAUUGGUGCAAGUUUCUCAGAAAAGGUGAUGCCAGAGCCAGGCUUGAUCAUGUGAACUGGCUCUAACAGAAUUCCCUGGACUGACAUAAAUUAAUGUCUCAUAGUUCCGGUUCCAACUCCGAGAUCACAGCAUGGAAAGAGCUGGCAUCUGCUGCCGGCCUGAUUCACAGGUGGUUGUAUUCUGUUUGGUUCCUGUCUAAUAAAACACUAGGAAG
ensembl:lincRNA